rnacentral:rRNA from 1 species
CCUACGGGAGGCAGCAGUGGGGAAUAUUGCACAAUGGAGGGAACCCUGAAGCAGCGACGCCGCGUGAGUGAAGAAGUAUUUAGGUAUGUAACACUGUAUCAGCAGGGAAGAAAAUGACGGUACCUGACUACGAAGCCCCGGCUCACUACGUGCCAGAAGCCGCGGUAAUACGUCGGGGGCAAGCGUAAUCCGGAUUUACCGGGUGUAAAGAGAGUGUAGGCGGCAGAGAAAGUCUGAAGUGAAAGCACGCGGCCCAACUCCGGGACUGCUUUGGAAACUGCCCGGCUAGAGUGGUGGAGAGGUAAGCGGAAUUCCUAGUGUAGCGGUGAAAUGCGUAGAUAUUAGGAAGAACACCAGUGGCGAAGGCAGCUUACUGGACAGUAACUGACGUUGAGGCUCGAAAGCGUGGGGAGCAAACAGGAUUAGAUACCCGUGUAGUC